UUUGUGGUGGGAAGGAACCACAAAAACCCUUUCAUACAUUAAGGACGCAGUUGAGCCUAGUGUGGUCGAAGCAGAUGAUGUAAAGUUAAAGAUUGCGUUUUCAGGUGUUUGUGGAUCUGACUUCCAUUUUAUGUCCGGGGAAAUGGGAAAGUUUGCACCGAAGAGUGAUGGAGUUAUAUUAGGUCAUGAAUACUCUGGAACUGUAGUUGAUAUUGGUUCUGCUGUACAGGAUCUGAAGGUCGGGGAUACAGUUGCAGUAAAUCCCAAUAAUUUUUUCAAAACUGUUCUUGGUGUAAAGAAAAUAAACCCAACUUUUGUGAAAACAACAUUAAUAUUGGAGUGAAAAAGAAUGGAGGUUGGGCGGAGUACUGUGUUGUGCCUGUCAAAUUGGUGCAUAAGUUACCAGAAGGUGUGUCUCUUGAAGGUGGUGCACUGGCUGAACCUUAUUCUUGUGUAUUGAGAGGCUGGAACUUGAUGCAUCAAAAACCGAUAAAAACAGCCAAAGUAUUAAUUCAGGGUGCUGGAAUAAUUGGAUCCAUGUUUGCCUGUUUGUUUCAUGUUAAUGGGUACAAAGAUGUAACAAUUUGCGAACCACAUGAAGUACGUCGGAAUAUUUGUUCUGGGUUGAGGCUGGGAUAUGAAAUUACACACCCGGAUGAAUUAGACAAGAUGAUGUCAAGUAAAGACGAAGACACACACGGUUUCGAUGUAAUCUUCGAUUGCACAGGAAAUUGCAGAGCUGUUCAGAAA